rnacentral:rRNA from 1 species
GGUUAAGCGACUAAGCGUACACGGUGGAUGCCCUGGCAGUCAGAGGCGAUGAAGGGCGUGCUAAUCUGCGAUAAGCGCCGGUAAGGUGAUAUGAACCGUUAUAACCGGCGAUACCCGAAUGGGGAAACCCAGUGUGACUCGUCACACUAUCAUUAACUGAAUCCAUAGGUUAAUGAGGCGAACCGGGGGAACUGAAACAUCUAAGUACCCCGAGGAAAAGAAAUCAACCGAGAUUCCCCCAGUAGCGGCGAGCGAACGGGGAGGAGCCCAGAGCCUGAAUCAGCAUGUGUGUUAGUGGAAGCGUCUGGAAAGGCGCGCGAUACAGGGUGACAGCCCCGUACACAAAAGCGCAUGUGCUGUGAGCUCGAUGAGUAGGGCGGGACACGUGGUAUCCUGUCUGAAUAUGGGGGGACCAUCCUCCAAGGCUAAAUACUCCUGACUGACCGAUAGUGAACCAGUACCGUGAGGGAAAGGCGAAAAGAACCCCGGCGAGGGGAGUGAAAAAGAACCUGAAACCGUGUACGUACAAGCAGUGGGAGCACAGGUUUACCUGUGUGACUGCGUACCUUUUGUAUAAUGGGUCAGCGACUUAUAUUCUGUAGCAAGGUUAACCGUAUAGGGGAGCCGGAGGGAAACCGAGUCUUAACCGGGCGUUAAGUUGCAGGGUAUAGACCCGAAACCCGGUGAUCUAGCCAUGGGCAGGUUGAAGGUUGGGUAACACUAACUGGAGGACCGAACCGACUAAUGUUGAAAAAUUAGCGGAUGACCUGUGGCUGGGGGUGAAAGGCCAAUCAAACCGGGAGAUAGCUGGUUCUCCCCGAAAGCUAUUUAGGUAGCGCCUCGUG